rnacentral:miRNA from 1 species
UUUAUACGUCGAAUUUUGGUCGCGUCGAAUGCAAUUAAGACAAUAGAUAAUGAGAUGAUAAACCUCAUUAAUUAAACUUCAUUAUCUAUUGUUUGAAUUGCAUUCGACGCGACCAAAAUUCGACGUAUAAA